rnacentral:misc_RNA from 1 species
AAGUCGUAACAAGGUUUCCGUAGGUGAACCUGCGGAAGGAUCAUUACCGAGUUCAUGCCCUCGCGGGUAGAUCUCCCACCCUUUGUAUACUAUACCUUUGUUGCUUUGGCGGGCCGCCUAGCUACUGGCUUCGGCUGGUAAGUGCCCGCCAGAGGACCCAAAACCCUGAAUAUUAGUGUCGUCUGAGUAAAAUUUUAAUAUUUAAAACUUUCAACAACGGAUCUCUUGGCUCUG